UACGGGGGGGGCAAGCGUUGUUCGGAAUUACUGGGCGUAAAGGGCUCGUAGGCGGCCAACUAAGUCAGACGUGAAAUCCCUCGGCUCAACCGGGGAACUGCGUCUGAUACUGGAUGGCUUGAGUUUGGGAGAGGGAUGCGGAAUUCCAGGUGUAGCGGUGAAAUGCGUAGAUAUCUGGAGGAACACCGGUGGCGAAGGCGGCAUCCUGGACCAACACUGACACUGAUGAGCGAAAGCCAGGGGAGCAAACGGG
rnacentral:rRNA from 1 species